GACGAACGCUGGCGGCGUGCUUAACACAUGCAAGUCGAACGGAAAGGCCCUGCUUUUGUGGGGUGCUCGAGUGGCGAACGGGUGAGUAACACGUGAGUAACCUGCCCUUGACUUUGGGAUAACUUCAGGAAACUGGGGCUAAUACCGGAUAGGAGCUCCUGCUGCAUGGUGGGGGUUGGAAAGUUUCGGCGGUUGGGGAUGGACUCGCGGCUUAUCAGCUUGUUGGUGGGGUAGUGGCUUACCAAGGCUUUGACGGGUAGCCGGCCUGAGAGGGUGACCGGCCACAUUGGGACUGAGAUACGGCCCAGACUCCUACGGGAGGCAGCAGUGGGGAAUAUUGCACAAUGGGCGGAAGCCUGAUGCAGCAACGCCGCGUGCGGGAUGACGGCCUUCGGGUUGUAAACCGCUUUCGCCUGUGACGAAGCGUGAGUGACGGUAAUGGGUAAAGAAGCACCGGCUAACUACGUGCCAGCAGCCGCGGUGAUACGUAGGGUGCGAGCGUUGUCCGGAUUUAUUGGGCGUAAAGGGCUCGUAGGUGGUUGAUCGCGUCGGAAGUGUAAUCUUGGGGCUUAACCCUGAGCGUGCUUUCGAUACGGGUUGACUUGAGGAAGGUAGGGGAGAAUGGAAUUCCUGGUGGGGCGGUGGAAUGCGCAGAUAUCAGGAGGAACACCAGUGGCGAAGGCGGUUCUCUGGGCCUUUCCUGACGCUGAGGAGCGAAAGCGUGGGGAGCGAACAGGCUUAGAUACCCUGGUAGUCCACGCUGUAAACGGUGGGUACUAGGUGUGGGGUCCAUUCCACGGGUUCCGUGCCGUAGCUAACGCUUUAAGUACCCCGCCUGGGGAGUACGGCCGCAAGGCUAAAACUCAAAGGAAUUGACGGGGCCCCGCACAAGCGGCGGAGCAUGCGGAUUAAUUCGAUGCAACGCGUAGAACCUUACCUGGGUUUGACAUGGAUCGGGAGUGCUCAGAGAUGGGUGUGCCUCUUUUGGGGUCGGUUCACAGGUGGUGCAUGGCUGUCGUCAGCUCGUGUCGUGAGAUGUUGGGUUAAGUCCCGCAACGAGCGCAACCCUUGUUCACUGUUGCCAGCACGUUAUGGUGGGGACUCAGUGGAGACCGCCGGGGUCAACUCGGAGGAAGGUGGGGAUGACGUCAAGUCAUCAUGCCCCUUAUGUCCAGGGCUUCACGCAUGCUACAAUGGCUGGUACAGAGAGUGGCGAGCCUGUGAGGGUGAGCGAAUCUCGGAAAGCCGGUCUCAGUUCGGAUUGGGGUCUGCAACUCGACCCCAUGAAGUCGGAGUCGCUAGUAAUCGCAGAUCAGCAACGCUGCGGUGAAUACGUUCCCGGGGCU
rnacentral:rRNA from 1 species